CCUUGGGAAGGGGGAAUUCCUGAUGGGAAACAUCCCUGGGGGGGGAAAUUCCUGAUGGGAAACAUCCCUGGGGGGAAAAAUUCCAUCAAAUUCCAUCUACGACCGCCUGCUGUCCAUGCCCACCCAGCUCUACAGCCACCACUGGGACAGGUACCCCCAAUUCCUGUGGGAUAACAGCCCUGGGAGAGGGAAUUCCUGAUGGGAAACAGCCCUGGGGGGGGAAAUUCCAUCAAAUUCCAUCCCUGCUGUCCAUGCCCACCCAGCUCUACAGCCACCACUGGGACAGGUGAUGGAAUUCCCGUGGGAUAACAGCCCUGGGAGAGGGAAUUCCUGCAGGGAAACACCCCAGGAGAGGGAUUCAGCUCUGGGAAACGUCCCUGGGAUGGGGGGAUUCCUGAUGGGAAACCUCCCUGGGGUCCCUGGGAUGGGGAUUCGCUCCUGGGAAAGACCACGGAGAGGGAAAUUCAUGCCUGGAAAACACGGGGGGAGGGGAAAAUUCAGGUUUUUUUGGAUGGAAAUGGGUGGGUUUGGAUAGAAAUGGAUGGGUUUGGGAUGGAAAUGGGUGGGUUUGGAUGGAAAUGGAAGGAUUUGGCUGGAAAUGAGCAGAUUUAGCUGGAAUUGGACUUUGUUUUGGGUGGAAAUGGGGGAAGUUGGAUGGAAAUGGGCUUUGUUUUGGAUGGAAAUGGGCAGAUUUGGGUGGAAAUGGGCAGAUUUGGCUGUAAAUGUGUAGAUUUUUGGUGAUAACAACAGG